GAUGAACGCUGGCGGCGUGCCUAAUACAUGCAAGUCGAGCGAACAGACGAGGAGCUUGCUCCUCUGACGUUAGCGGCGGACGGGUGAGUAACACGUGGAUAACCUACCUAUAAGACUGGGAUAACUUCGGGAAACCGGAGCUAAUACCGGAUAAUAUAUUGAACCGCAUGGUUCAAUAGUGAAAGACGGUUUUGCUGUCACUUAUAGAUGGAUCCGCGCCGCAUUAGCUAGUUGGUAAGGUAACGGCUUACCAAGGCGACGAUGCGUAGCCGACCUGAGAGGGUGAUCGGCCACACGGGAACUGAGACACGGUCCAGACUCCUACGGGAGGCAGCAGUAGGGAAUCUUCCGCAAUGGGCGAAAGCUUGACGGAGCAACGCCGCGUGAGUGAUGAAGGUCUUCGGAUCGUAAAACUCUGUUAUUUGGGAAGAACAAAUGUGUAAGUAACUAUGCACGUCUUGACGGUACCUAAUCAGAAGGCCACGGCUAACUACGUG
rnacentral:rRNA from 1 species